rnacentral:rRNA from 1 species
UUGCGAUGGGGGGACGGAGAAGGCUAGGUGGGCCUGGCGACGGUUGUCCAGGUUCAAGUACGUAGGCGGGUGGUUUAGGUAAAUCCGGACCGCUACUAACGCUGAGAUACGAUGUCGAGCUACUACGGUAGUGAAGUCAUUGAUGCCAUGCUUCCAGGAAAAGCCUCUAAGCUUCAGAUUGUAAGGAAUCGUACCCCAAACCGACACAGGUGGUCGGGUAGAGAAUACCAAGGCGCUUGAGAGAACUCGGGUGAAGGAACUAGGCAAAAUGGUACCGUAACUUCGGGAGAAGGUACGCUCUUAUCAGUGAAGUCCCUUGCGGAUGGAGCAGACGAGAGUCGCAGAUACCAGGUGGCUGCAACUGUUUAUUAAAAACACAGCACUGUGCAAAAUCGUAAGAUGACGUAUACGGUGUGACGCCUGCCCGGUGCCGGAAGGUUAAUUGAUGGGGUUAGACUUCGGUCGAAGCUCUUGAUCGAAGCCCCGGUAAACGGCGGCCGUAACUAUAACGGUCCUAAGGUAGCGAAAUUCCUUGUCGGGUAAGUUCCGACCUGCACGAAUGGCGUAAUGAUGGCCACGCUGUCUCCACCCGAGACUCAGUGAAAUUGAAAUCGCUGUGAAGAUGCAGUGUACCCGCGGCUAGACGGAAAGACCCCGUGAACCUUUACUACAGCUUGGCACUGAACAUUGAACCUACAUGUGUAGGAUAGGUGGGAGACUUUGAAACCGCGUCGCUAGAUGUGGUGGAGUCGUCCUUGAAAUACCACCCUUGUAGUUUUGAUGUUCUAACGUUGGUCCCUGAAUCGGGAUUACGGACAGUGCCUGGUGGGUAGUUUGACUGGGGCGGUCUCCUCCCAAAGAGUAACGGAGGAGCACGAAGGUGGGCUAAACACGGUUGGACAUCGUGUGGUUAGUGCAAUGGCAUAAGCCCGCUUGACUGCGAGAAUGACAAUUCGAGCAGGUGCGAAAGCAGGUCAUAGUGAUCCGGUGGUUCUGAAUGGAAGGGCCAUCGCUCAACGGAUAAAAGGUACUCCGGGGAUAACAGGCUGAUACCGCCCAAGAGUUCAUAUCGACGGCGGUGUUUGGCACCUCGAUGUCGGCUCAUCACAUCCUGGGGCUGAAGUCGGUCCCAAGGGUAUGGCUGUUCGCCAUUUAAAGUGGUACGCGAGCUGGGUUUAGAACGUCGUGAGACAGUUCGGUCCCUAUCUGCCGUGGGCGUUGGAAAAUUGAAAGGGGCUGCUCCUAGUACGAGAGGACCGGAGUGGACGAACCUCUGGUGUUCGGGUUGUCAUGCCAAUGGCAUUGCCCGGUAGCUAAGUUCGGAAUCGAUAACCGCUGAAAGCAUCUAAGCGGGAAGCGAGCCUUGAGAUGAGUUUUCCCUG